GCACACAGCGUGCUGGGCACUCAGCAGGAGUACAAACCAGACACCAUCAGCACACAAACUUGGGCAUUCAGCUCCCCUUUGGCGGAUUUAAUGAAGAGUAUGAACAUCUCUACCUCCAGGCUGGGUGUCAUGGUGCAUGCCCCUAAUCUCAGCACUUAGGAAACAGAGGCAGGAAAUCUAUUAGCUGAUUAUGCCAAGGAAAUACAAUAUUUUCAUUGUGACACUAAUCGAGUUUGCUGAUAAUCAUUGAAGAUGAUUGGGCUGGGGCCUGCAUGCUACAACACUGACCUAAUGGUGUGAUUACUGCACAAGACCUGAAUAAAAUCAAGCCAGUCAAAAGCCUAAUGCAAAUGGGGGAGAGACACCUAGCCCCACCUUCUCAGAAGAACUAUUAGCAGUUGAUGACUGCUGAGGGAGAAAGGAUCAAGUCACUCUCCUUUGGGGAUGUUGCAACUGACACGCACAAGCAGCCCUCCACUGGAAUCAACUGUGGCCUUGCCUGCAGGGAUUCUCUGGAAAGAUCAAAUGAGAAGCUUGCAAAACUCCCCAUUUAAUCCUUGCAACCACGUUUGAAGUGCAAUUACUAUCUACAAGAUGCUCAACAACCACCUCCAAGUUGCCAGUUGCUUGGAAGCCAGGCAGGACUGGACCAGAGUUCCUGGCCCCUCAACAUCCUGGCUGUCUGCAGCUCAUCGCCUCACCCUGCUAGCUUUGCUCUAGGCUCUGGGCCCUUAGCUCCCUCCUCAAACCACACUCUCUUCCUGCACUGGGUUACUGUGACAGGAUCUGCAGUCCUGGAAAUUCCUCCCUAAAGUUGCUAUAGAAACUCCCGGUGUGGGUGUGUGGAGGAAGGGGUGCGAUUCCUCCCAGCUGAUGCACAGAGCUUUGCACAGCUUGAGGCAGCAUAGAAUCAGGCCCGUGGCGUUUGUUUCUCACCCAAUUUGAGCCGCCCCAGAGUGUGGAGGAGGAAGACACCCUACUCCUUUUCUGGGUAUCAGUGAGGGAAAAGAGAAAGUCCUCUGAUGUGAUUCAAUUUUAUCUGGGGAAAAGUGAAGAGCUUGCUGAGUCCAGCCACUUCAGAAACAGUGACUCGGGAGCCAGAGUGGCCACCAAGCUCCCAGCAGGUCAAAGAUUACCACCAGUCAAAAAUGAACACAGCACGUUUCUCAGUAAGAUGCCAACACCACUCUCCUAUUUUAUCAAGACACAGGUUAGGGAACCUGAAUGAUCACAAAGCUUCAUUAGUCAGCCCCUACACUCAGCAGCUGGGACUGGGUGAGCUUCCUGAUCAAUAGCGCCCCCUGGUGAUCAGGGGGUCAGAACGGACGGAUGAAACAGGAAUUUAAUCGUUCAUGUUGACAAACUGGAUUUUCACAGGGUGGCCUGUGAAAUUGUCUCUUCUCACACAGUUCUUAAAAUAAAUCCUGUUGAAGGGAGGGUUUCACAUGGGGAGAAGUGACAGAUAUAUCCUGUUCUGCAUAAGAUGACUAAUAUCUGCACAUGUUCACAAGCACAAGCUGGUGAAUGUCAGAGACACUCAGGCCUUGAAGACUCUGGGCCUCUUGGCCCAUAUGGAGAAUGGGAGGUGAGAAAACAGGUGAAUUAUCCUGGAAGACGAAAACUCUACUGAGCCAAACACUACUGAGUGUUGACUAUGCACAUGACUAUAGGCUAGGGUUAGGAUAAGCCCGGAGAUGCAAAUGAAAGAUGAUUCCCUGUUCACUGGGCUUCAGAGUGCACUGGGAACAGUAGGGCACAGGCAGUUGUAACAAUGGUAAGAACAAUGUAGAAUACCAAACAAGAGAAUUAGACUGUGUGCACUUGGAUAAUGAAAGACUGAGCUCUCCACGUUGUGGAUAUGAGAGCAGGCUACAUCUAACCAGCUUUGUGAGAGUUUGUGAGCUCCCUAGAUCUAUCAUAAUCAAUAGUGUAUUUAUAAGAAUCCAUGCUUUUAAAGGCCAAAUAUAAAUGUUUUAAGACCUAAAAUCUUACAAACAUUGUUUCAAACACUGACUAUUUAAAUGCAAGAUAUUAAAGAAUAAUUUUUAUAGACAGUCAUGAGCUAUGUCUUCUAGGGAAGUAGUCAUAUCAAGAAAUACACAGAGGACACUAGAGAAGAGCUGGGUCACCUUUCUGCUGCCAUCAAAAUGUGUCCAAGCUUCUGCGUUGGAAAUUCCAUGUUCUGAGAAGCAUUUUGAGAGGUGGAAUCUGCUGGGGAAGGAGGUUAGGUUAAGAGUAAUGGUGUUACGAAACCCUAAUUGCAUUAAGUUGUUCUCUUUUGUUCUACAGUUGUGUGAAUACUUUGUUUCCUUUUUCUGAAGAUGUCCAUCUAAUUCAAGUCACCAUCUUCAAAGUAGAGGUCAGAACCUUACCUGAAGCCUGAGCCUAGGACUGAGACUUUGAAACAAACGGGGUUUUGGGAAACAGUUCAGUUCUGUUGAAUAAAACAGAAAAGCAUC